rnacentral:rRNA from 1 species
UGGGGAAUUUUGGACAAUGGGGGCAACCCUGAUCCAGCCAUUCCGCGUGAGUGAAGAAGGCCUUCGGGUUGUAAAGCUCUUUUGUCCGGAACGAAACGGUUGGCGUGAAUAUCGCCGACUACUGACGGUACCGGAAGAAUAAGCACCGGCUAACUACGUGCCAGCAGCCGCGGUAAUACGUAGGGUGCGAGCGUUAAUCGGAAUUACUGGGCGUAAAGCGUGCGCAGGCGGUUUUUGUAAGCCAGAUGUGAAAUCCCCGGGCUUAACCUGGGAAUGGCAUUUGGGACUGCAAGGCUGGAGUUUGGCAGAGGAGACUGGAAUUCCCGGUGUAGCAGUGAAAUGCGUAGAUAUCGGGAGGAAUACCGAUGGGCGAAGGCAGGUCUCUGGGCUAUAACUGACGCUCAUGCACGAAAGCGUGGGGAGCAAACAGGAUUAGAUACCCUGGUAGUCCACGCCCUAAACGAUGUCGACUGGUUGUUGGGGGUUUGACGACUCUCAGUAACGAAGCUAACG